rnacentral:rRNA from 1 species
AGUGAACGCUGGCGGUAGGCCUAACACAUGCAAGUCGAACGGCAGCACAGUAAGAGCUUGCUCUUACGGGUGGCGAGUGGCGGACGGGUGAGGCAUACAUCGGAAUCUACUUUUUCGUGGGGGAUAACGUAGGGAAACUUACGCUAAUACCUCAUACGACCUACGGGUGAAAGCAGGGGAUCUUCGGACCUUGCGCGAUUGAAUGAGCCGAUGUCGGAUUAGCUAGUUGGCGGGGUAAAGGCCCACCAAGGCGACGAUCCGUAGCUGGUCUGAGAGGAUGAUCAGCCACACUGGAACUGAGACACGGUCCAGACUCCUACGGGAGGCAGCAGUGGGGAAUAUUGGACAAUGGGCGCAAGCCUGAUCCAGCCAUACCGCGUGGGUGAAGAAGGCCUUCGGGUUGUAAAGCCCUUUUGUUGGGAAAGAAAAGCAGCAGGUUAAUACCCCGCUGUUCUGACGGUACCCAAAGAAUAAGCACCGGCUAACUUCGUG